rnacentral:lncRNA from 1 species
GCGAGAUGUCAAUCAGGCUUGCAUGACUAGCAUCAAGGAGCGGAGGAUCUAAUAAACAGGAUUUGAAAAACAGCUUCAUGAAAUGCUACUUGAAGAAAAUGUCUCUUUGUCAGGCGCAGGACUCUCACAUGGACUUCAAAGAGAACUGACUUGGGGAACUGACUAGAAGGAAAAUCCUACAACAAGAAUAUUAGACUUGACCAGCAUAAGUAAUGCUUCAAGUGGGAACCAUCUUGGUAUCCUCCUCUGACCGGGCACUGCAGAAUAAAUGUGCUUCAAAGAGGAGCCUCCUAAACACUGAGCUAACUCUGGUAAUACAAGUAUCAAUCUCAUCAUCCACAUGGAGAGCCUUGGAGAGUGUACUGCCAGGAGACAAGACAGCCUCUCCAUGA